rnacentral:rRNA from 1 species
UACGGAGGAUCCGAGCGUUAUCCGGAUUUAUUGGGUGUAAAGGGCGUGUAGGCGGGAGCGCAAGUCAGAUGUGAAAACUCAGGGCUCAACCCUGAGCCUGCAUUUGAAACUGUGUUUCUUGAGUGCAGAAGAGGAGAGUGGAACUCCAUGUGUAGCGGUGGAAUGCGUAGAUAUAUGGAAGAACACCAGUGGCGAAGGCGGCUCUCUGGUCUGUAACUGACGCUGAGGCUCGAAAGCAUGGGUAGCGAACAGG